rnacentral:hammerhead_ribozyme from 1 species
GCACUGCUGAGGAGUCGCAUACUAAGACGAAACGUCCAUCCAGUAC